rnacentral:rRNA from 1 species
GAACCGCAUGCCCUUCACUGGGUGUGCCGGGGAAACAGGACUUUUACUUUGAAAAAAUUAGAGUGCUCCAGGCAGGCCUUUGCUCGAAUACAUUAGCAUGGAAUAAUAGAAUAGGACGUGUGGUUCUAUUUUGUUGGUUUCUAGGACCGCCGUAAUGAUUAAUAGGGACAGUCGGGGGCAUCAGUAUUCAAUUGUCAGAGGUGAAAUUCUUGGAUUUAUUGAAGACUAACUACUGCGAAAGCAUUUGCCAAGGAUGUUUUCAUUUAUCAGGAACGAAAGUUAGGGGAUCGAAGACGAUCAGAUACCGUCGUAGUCUUAACCAUAAACUAUGCCGACUAGGGAUCGGACGAUGUUAUUUUUUGACUCGUUCGGCACCUUACGAGAAAUCAAAGUGCUUGGGCUCCAGGGGGAGUAUGGUCGCAAGGCUGAAACUUAAAGAAAUUGACGGAAGGGCACCACCAGGGGUGGAGCCUGCGGCUUAAUUUGACUCAACACGGGGAAACUCACCAGGUCCAGACACAAUGAGGAUUGU